GAGACACCCUUAUGGGGCAGGACUUGCUUCAGUGGGGCUUUGGUGCUCACUGAGUCUGCCCCUUGAGGUGUCACU
rfam:Myotis brandtii contig201838, whole genome shotgun sequence.